CGUAGGGACCAAGCGUUGUUCGGAUUUACUGGGCGUAAAGGGCGCGUAGGCGGCGUGACAAGUCAAUUGUGAAAUCUCCGGGCUUAACUCGGAACGGUCAAUUGAUACUGUUGUGCUAGAGUACAGAAGGGGCAAUCGGAAUUCUUGGUGUAGCGGUGAAAUGCGUAGAUAUCAAGAGGAACACCUGAGGUGAAGACGGGUUGCUGGGCUGAUACUGACGCUGAGGCGCGAAAGCUAGGGUAGCAAACGGGAUU
rnacentral:rRNA from 1 species